CAACGAAUUUGCUGUUCCAAAUGUUAGUGCUUUCAUGUCCUUGCUCCUUCAUUUUUCUUUGGCCAGGUACUUUGUAACUCCAAUGCAUUCUUCACCUUUCAACAAUCUAACUAUUCCCCUUACUACCACUUCCACUUGAGGGGCUUGGGGCUGGUAAGCGAGGAGGAAGAAUCCACCCUCCCAACAGGUUCUCACAGCGGAGAUACGCCUGGAAGGAGACUGAAACCCAAGGCCAUCCGUCGCCGUCGCCGCAAGAUCCCCAGGCCCGGCCAGGACUCUAAUAAGAAAGCACCCUAGCUUCGCCUCGGCUCAUUAUCUGCCAGGACUUCGAGAUCAGAUGACUCAAGGCAACACGGAGAAGGAGGAGGAACAGAAGAAAGAGGAGGAUGAAAAGGAGAGGAAGAGGAAGAGGAACUACCCAUCCUCUAAGCCGGCCAAGCCUCAUGGAGCCUUAGGGGACUUGGGGCCCAGGAGGCGUGGCCUUAGUGUGGAAGCGGAGGGCGGGGCCUCUUGGAGGCAGAGACUCCUGUUAGCUCCAGCUCGGUGGGGCGGGGCAGCCCGGCCUCCUCAGAGUGGGCAAUCGGGCUGUCCAAGUUUGCCGGCGGUGGGAAAGGGAACACCAUCCGUCAAAGGAGAAUACAAACUCUUAAGAGGGUCGCCAGCCCGCGAGCUCGCGGCUCUUUCCAUCCUCUCACACAGUCCACGUGACCAGAGCAGGUCGCCAGCCCCAGAGUGGGCAAUCGGGGCAGCUUCUGUUUUCGUUUUUACUUAUCUGCCGCUUGGAGGCGAGGAAGGGACAGGGGUCAACACCGGUGUCACCGCCUCCGCUCCCAGGCCGGCCCCCAGACCGCCGCAGGCAAGGACAGAGGGGUUAGUGGUAUGUGAGCUAGGUGGUCUACAGGGCUGUGCCUUCUAAAACACUACUGUCUCCCGAAAUCACACCAUAGAAGCAAUCCAGGGUAAAAUGCAAAUGUACUGGGGUCAUGUUAAGUAAGUGAAAUAUUUCUGGCCUCCAACUAUCUAAAGCUAUUCUUCUGAUUAAGGGGUUAAGUGCUUUUUCUUCUUCCUUCUAAGUAGAAAACUGGACCCUUAGAAACACAUACCAGAUGUGGGGGCCUGGCUAGUCUGAGAGCAACUGGACAUGGAACACCUCAGGGGAAGAAAAUAGAAGAUUCUCUUUCCCUCCCAGCCGUUAAUAUUUAGCUCCAGUCUUAACUCCUUGCAAAUGAUUCAUGUUUUGAGAGAAUUUAAUUUUUCCAGUUUUGUGAUGGUUUAACUGAAUUCCUCUACUUUUAGGUCAACUUAAGUCGUGAUUGUUUGUAUCAUUUAACCCAAAGCUAGACCACUUAAGAGUUAAAGGGCCAAAAGAAAGUCUUUUACAGAAAGGAAAAACUAUGAUAAAUGCUUAUGCAAAGCAUACUUCAGCUUCCAUAACUGCAAAAUAUGUUUGGUUUUACCACCCAAAUUCUGUGCUGGAUCCUGGGAAAAGCCGUAUAUAACACAGACACUCUACUAGAGAAGAUACCUGAAUGGAAAAACAGCUAUAACUCAGUGUUAUACAGUUAAUAAUAAAAGCAUGUACUAGGUACAAAAGUAGCAUCAUUGAAGGAGUGAUGAAUUCUAUGGUGCAUUUGGGGAUGAGGGCAUAAAAGGUUUCGCCUGAGAAUGAUGCCCAUCUGAGGGGUAUUUGAACCAUGAACAGGAGUAUUUUUUAAAAAGCUCAUGAGGUAGAUAUUAAUACCUGACUAUAAAAUACUGAUUGACAAUGCAGAGAAGUGAAAAUAUAAAGAGGUGCCAAAUACUCUAAAUUUUGAAUUGUCACCAAAGAAAUUAGUUAGAAAAUUGAGGGGAGUUCCUGUGGUGGCGCAGUGGUUAACGAAUCCGACUAGGAACCAUGAGGUUGCGGGUUUGAUCCCUGCCCUUGCUCAGUGGGUUAAAGAUCCGGCGUUGCCGUGAGCUGUGGUGUAGGUUGCAGACGCGACUCAGAUCCUGUGUUGCUGUGGCUCUGGCGUAGGCUGGUGGCUACGGCUCCAAUUAGACCCCUAGCCUGGGAAUCUCCAUAUGCCCGAGAGCGCCCCAAGAAAUGGCAAAAAGACAAAAAAAAAAAAAAAGAAAGAAAAAAAAAGAAAAAGAAAAUUGAGAAAGACUAGUGUUGUACUAGUGUGGACUCCUCCAGGUUAUGUAUUCAUAACCAACACUGUGUUCUAU
rnacentral:lncRNA from 1 species